rnacentral:rRNA from 1 species
AUUGGGCUAACUAAAGUCUCCGACGUGCAUGCCUUCCAUAUGCGCGUAUACGUGAGCCGCACAGUGAGCUGCACACAUGUGGUGGUGGUGGCCGUCAGCCGUGUUUUUUUGGCAGACAAUGGUCUGUAGCUUGCUGUGUGUUGAGGGGGGAUAGGUGACGUAUUGGGCUAGUUAGAAAGGUACGUCGCGAGCGCCUAUCCUCUCGUUAUUGGCAAAAACGGUAUCCAUUUGGUGUCUACACCCUACCUAGCUACUGCCUGGACCGUCGGUAGCUAUCAAAGGUGGGGAUAAAGCUCCUCGUCUUUACGCGAGUCGAGUAGACUUAAUGAGUCUCAGCGAGGAGGCCACCAAAACCCAAACACAACCAGUCUUUUGUUUGAAAUGUUGUGAAGGUACUUCCUCGUGUUGUGCCUUUGAAACUGAGUAUAAAUCUUAGCGGUGGAUCACUCGGUUCGUGGAUCGAUGAAGAACGCAGCUAGCUGCGAUAACUAGUGCGAAUUGCAGACACAUUGAGCACUAAGAAUUCGAACGCACAUUGCGCCAUCGGGUUCAUUCCCGUUGGCACGUCUGGCUGAGGGUCGAAUUUGAAUAUCAAACAUCCGUGUGUUUUCCAACUCAUGGUGUAUUCGGCGAGCUAUGAUGGUGUUGUUGGCAAUGCUGCGUGUGUGUGUUGCGGCCUCUUUUAAGGAGAGGUCACUUCAUGUGCUCGAGGCAUGGCCGACGCGCCGACAUACCUUGCUAAGGCUUUGUGCCAUAUAUCGCUCGUAAUCAUUUGCUCCUUGCGAGGCGAUGAUGGCCGUCAAGUGUCGCUCUCUUAACCAUAGAUACGGCUCCGAGCACGUGUUUGCCAAUUGGCUAUCGGUUUGGGGUGCCCGUAUCAGAAUUGCUGGAAUGGAAGAGAGGGUGAUGCUAGGUUGCUGUCACUAUGUUUUGACCUCAGCUCAGUCGUGACUACCCGCUGAAUUUAGCAUAUACUAAGCGAGAGAAAAAAAACUAAA